UGGGGAAUUUUGCACAAUGGGGGAAACCCUGAUGCAGCGACGCCGCGUGAUUGAGAAGGCCUUCGGGUUGUAAAAAUCUUUUUUACGGGAUGAAAAUGACAGUACCGUAAGAAUAAGGUCCGGCUAAAUACGUGCCAGCAGCCGCGGUAAUACGUAUGGACCGAGCGUUGUCCGGAAUCAUUGGGCGUAAAGGGUACGUAGGCGGCCUAGUAAGUUAGAAGUGAAAUAAUAUAGCUCAACUAUAUAAAGCUUUUAAAACUGCUAGGCUUGAGAGAUGGAAGGGAAAGUGGAAUUCCUAGUGUAGCGGUGAAAUGCGCAGAUAUUAGGAAGAAUACCGGUGGCGAAGGCGACUUUCUGGUCAUCAUCUGACGCUGAGGUACGAAAGCGUGGGUAGCAAACAGG
rnacentral:rRNA from 1 species